AUACGAAGGGAGCUAGCGUUGUUCGGAAUCACUGGGCGUAAAGCGCACGUAGGCGGAUUGUUUAGUCGGGGGUGAAAUCCCGGGGCUCAACCUCGGAACUGCCUUCGAUACUGGCAAUCUUGAGUCCGGAAGAGGUGGGUGGAAUUCCUAGUGUAGAGGUGAAAUUCGUAGAUAUUAGGAAGAACACCAGUGGCGAAGGCGGCCCACUGGUCCGGUACUGACGCUGAGGUGCGAAAGCGUGGGGAGCAAACAGGAUUAGAAACCCGAGUAGUCC
rnacentral:rRNA from 1 species